UACGGAGGGUGCGAGCGUUAAUCGGAAUUACUGGGCGUAAAGCGCGCGUAGGCGGUUCGUUAAGUCCGCUGUGAAAGCCCUGGGCUUAACCUGGGAACGGCAGAGGAUACUGGCGAGCUAGAGUAUGGUAGAGGAGAGUGGAAUUUCCGGUGUAGCAGUGAAAUGCAUAGAGAUCGGAAGGAACACCAGUGGCGAAGGCGACUCUCUGGACCAAUACUGACGCUGAGGUGCGAAAGCGUGGGGAGCAAACAGG
rnacentral:rRNA from 1 species